rnacentral:misc_RNA from 1 species
GGAUAAUAUUACCAGGAUAAGGGAAGUUGCAAAUCGACGCUUUUAAGAGUAAUUGAAGGAACUGCCCUACGCCACGUUCGAAUUUCGACGCCCGUCUAAAAAAAAACCAGAUUUUUAUCGUACUUUGAAAAAAAAAGUACAAAUAGGGGCGCUUCAGUCAAACUCUUCUUUUCAGAGAGGACAAACGCUUAAUCCUUUAUCGACGUUGUAUCAGCUAAACAGAUGGAAUAUACUUUGCAAGAGGACGAAUGAGGAUAUAAAGUUAAAAUUUAAAGAAUGACUCCUUCUUUGUAAAGUAACCGCCUGGGAAAGUAUAAAAUUUUUUAUUUUCAUUUAAACUAUGCAAAUGCGGAGCUUUCUUUCUUUUUUUUUUUAGCAAGUUACUUAAUUGUAAAAGUAAUGCCACAGUAUCUACAUUCUCUGCCUUUUGUCCUAAGAAUAAAAAGUAAACGAGUAAAUUAUUCAUAUAAUCUUUGUUCGUCAAAUAUUACUAUCUAACUUGAUUUAUUUAUUAACAAACGAUGCGUGCUUACAUGGUCUAUGUCUUAAUUUUUUAAUGACACGAUAGUAAAAAAACACGAACAGUUAUGUAGAGAUAAAAGAGCUUCGAAAGGCGGCGUCACUCGUCAAUAUUUGAUCGUUGUUCUUUUGAAGUCAAUUCAAAGUGGUGGCGCGUCUUUUGCUACAGGCUAUUUGCUAACGGUUACUAGCUUAUGAAGUCCCAGUGUCCGAUUUGUAAAUUGUUUUUCAGAAUUUAAGGAGAAAGAGUUUUCAUUUACAUGCCAAGUUUUAGUUCAUAUAUCAAUAUACAAAACGGAAACAACCACGCAAUGCAGAUCAAGAAAAGAGAAUGAAUAUAUCGUUCAGAAUGCUUCGCUUUAUACCGAUACAUCAUUUCCUAGGACAAAUACCAUUUGUGUUUUUAGCGAUAACUAUUUUAGCAACACGUACAGGUUCGGCUAAACAACCUCGUCCACACCUCAGAGUGACAACCAUUUUAAAUCACCCUUAUGUGAUGCUCAAGCAUGGUUCAACUGAUGAAUAUAUAGGUUUCAUUCCUGACUUGUUGAGUAAAUUGGCAGAUAGGAUGAUGCUUGAUUAUACCUUAAAAGUUGCGCCAGACUCAAAAUAUGGUGUUAGAAAUCGAUUAACAGGGAAUUGGGACGGUAUGAUAGGACAAGUUUACCGUAAUGAAGCAGAUGUUGCUGCAUCUUCAAUUUUCUAUACAAAACAAAGGGACAAUUAUGUUGAUUUUACAAUACCAUUUUUAAAUGUUUCGGCAAGCAUAAUAUAUAAAAAGUCCGAAUACGCUCAAAAGAUAAGAAUAACUAAAGCCAGUGACCUAUUAAACCAAGACUUUUAUAAGUUUGGAACUUUGUCACGGGGACCAAUAAAAAUUGCUUUCAAACGGACCAAUAACUCCGUCUAUAGGGAUUUGUGGAGAAAAAUGGAUAGGUUUUAUCCCCAUGUAUUUUAUGCUACCAACGACGAUGCUUUACAGAGAGUUCGCAGCGAUCCACGUUAUGCUUUUAUCCUGCCGAAACCAAUAGCUGAUUAUAUAGUUGGUAGGAAACCUUGCGAGCUAUUACAAGCCGAUUCAUUUCUACUUAAUCAACGAUAUUGUCUGGUCUUGAAAGAGAACAGUACAUAUUUGUGGCGCUUUAAUUAUCAUUUGAAAGAAUUAACUAAAAAUGGUUUUCUAGCAUCGAUGUAUAGAAAAUGGUGGAUAAAUUCGGCCGAAUGUUCACACCAUACUGCAGGUGGCAGUAGUAGUUUCAGUGCUGAAGUUGGCAAUGGAACAGGAGUAUCAAAAUGUAGCUUGUACUUCAGAAAAGUCUUCAUUAUCCUUAUUUUACAUUUGUUUACUUUCCAUAUACAUAUAUGAAUUUUACUGCUUACUUAUUCUCAAAUUUAAUAAAAGCCAUUUCUUUUUGUCUAUGCUAUAGAUACUGCAAAUGAA